GGAAGGUUUCACUGUGAGCCCAUCAGAAUAGCAGCGCAGUCCUCCUUAUUUUCUAUUACUGGUCAUUUCUUGGUGCCCGUAUCCGACUAGUCUGAAUCACAACCUCCCUUCCCACAGCGAAAGAAGCAAGUCUUCCUGUCCACGACAGAGAGCCCUUGUGAGGAAUGAGAAACUUGACCACCUUGUUCUUGCUCGAAGCAAGUGUCAGGGAGAAACUAGAGCUUGGCCAAACACUGAUCUGUUACUUCUGGGCUGCAACUAGAAAUAAGUGCCUGUCAGACUUCCUUGUUUGCAAUCCAUUUUCAUCAUGCUGAGACAUGAAUGGAAAACUAAGCCAAAACAAAGCCUUCUUUGGAAAUGAGGUGACUAGUCAUUCUUGGCAGCACUCAGUCCUCCAAUUUGGUGUUUCAGCUGGUGCUUACAAAACAGGCAGAGAACCCCGUCCACUUACGCAUUUUAAUAUUGAACUAUUGUGUAAAACAU